rnacentral:ncRNA from 1 species
CAGGAACAAAGCCAAACCUGUCGCGAGGCGGGGACGGAAAGCUGCGGGUCUACGCACAAGCGGAGGCAGCCGGGUUGCUCCA